AUCUUCUCUCAUUAUCAGUCUGAAAUUGCGUCUUUAAUCUCUAUCAGAAACCGGAAUAAAGUCCACUGCCGGAGUACAGUCAAAAUUACGAAGGCAGAAAGGGAUGUAUAUGCAGCCAUAAUUGAUGAGAAAGUGGCGGUGAAAAUGGGACCAGGUCAUUACGAACCCCCAAGAGUGUCUCAAAGCUGGUCUGUGGCUAUUGAGGGAAAAGAUUACAAGGUCUGGGAAGCAUCUUAAACUUAAUGCGGUAGCUGCAAUUAUAUUAUUUAUAUUGUAGAAGUACAUAAAUUUAAAGCAUCAACUGUGAAGUAUUCCACAAUUCUAUUUAUCAAGCAAUUUGAAGGACUUCGGAACAUGAUGGUCUACUUGUUGGAAAUGGCGUGGCCUUGACCCUUCGAUUGAACCCCAUUCUUGACCUGAAAUCGGGCGACUGAGGAAAUGCCCUGUUACAUGGUGUGUGUAUAUAUAUAUAUAUAUAUAUA
rnacentral:misc_RNA from 1 species